rnacentral:rRNA from 1 species
UACGGAGGAUGCGAGCGUUAUCCGGAUUUAUUGGGUUUAAAGGGUGCGUAGGCGGGAUGCCAAGUCAGCGGUAAAAAUGCGGCGCUCAACGCCGUCGAGCCGUUGAAACUGGCGUUCUUGAGUGGGCGAGAAGUAUGCGGAAUGCGUGGUGUAGCGGUGAAAUGCAUAGAUAUCACGCAGAACUCCGAUUGCGAAGGCAGCAUACCGGCGCCCUACUGACGCUGAGGCACGAAAGCGUGGGUAUCGAACAGG